rnacentral:rRNA from 1 species
GAUGAACGCUGGCUACAGGCUUAACACAUGCAAGUCGAGGGGAAACGACGGGGAAGCUUGCUUCCCCGGGCGUCGACCGGCGCACGGGUGAGUAACGCGUAUCCAACCUGCCUCUGACUGAGGGAUAACCCGUCGAAAGUCGGCCUAAUACCUCAUGGUAUCGUCUGCGGGCAUCCAACGACGAUUAAAGAUUUCAUCGGUCAGGGAUGGGGAUGCGUCUGAUUAGCUUGUUGGCGGGGUAACGGCCCACCAAGGCUACGAUCAGUAGGGGUUCUGAGAGGAAGGUCCCCCACAUUGGAACUGAGACACGGUCCAAACUCCUACGGGAGGCAGCAGUGAGGAAUAUUGGUCAAUGGGCGAGAGCCUGAACCAGCCAAGUAGCGUGCAGGAAGACGGCCCUAUGGGUUGUAAACUGCUUUUAGGCGGGGAUAAAGUGAGGGACGUGUCCCUCAUUGCAGGUACCGCAUGAAUAAGGACCGGCUAAUUCCGUG